UUUCCCCUGCUCUGCCAGGGAGCAGGAGCACGAGAAGCUGGGAGGGAGCAGGGCCAGGACAGCUGAGCUGAACUGGCCACAGGGAUAUUCCAGAGCUCAGCAGGUCACACUCAGCACAUGAGCCGGGGGAGGUGCCCGUGCGGCAGGACUCUGCCUGGGCACUGACUGAGCAGUGCUCAGGGGGUGGGGAGCAAUUGUAUUGUGCAUCACUUAUUCUGUACAUUCUUUUAUCAUCAUCAUUAUUUUCUCUUCAUUUCCUGGCUUAUUAAUUUGUCUCUAUCAACCCACAAGGUUUACUUUUUUCACCAAUUCUCUUCCCUCUCUCACUGCAGGGCAGGGGGUGGAGUGAACAAGCAACUGUUUGGUGCCUGUUCUGGGGUUAAACCACGACUCUCUUCCACUCCAAAUGCUGACUUACAGAAUAAAAUCCUCCCCCAGACUCCAAGUCACCCUUCAGAGCAUAUGUUCCAGAGGAUUCAAGGAUAUGGGCUAUUUAUCUGUAGAAGGAGCUAAAGCUUUAAUCAAAGGACCAGUUUUCGGAAGAUUUGCAGUAAGAGCAAGAACACUGGGCACACUCCCUUGGAUGGCUCCACACCUGUACAUCUCUACAAAACACCAACCGUGGCUUGAAGCUUCUGCAGCAGAUAUUCUGGACAUCUAAUUCCAGGUAAAAGAAGUGGGCAUCCUUCCAACCCAGCACAGCAAUCUGCUAUGGUGGAGCUGCUGUGCAAAACAAUUCCAAGAAUUGUAAAAGUUAUUUCAUCUGCAAACAAUAAUUUUUAAGAUGGUUUUAAAGCAUGUGUUACACACAAUCAUCCAGCUUUCAACAUCACAAUACAAAGAGUGCAAAAUCAUUUCAAAAGAUGGAACAUUUUAAAAAAAAUCCAACUAAAAGCUAAUGGCCAAGAAUGUUAUUCUACCCAGGUCCUCUCCCAAUGUUCCCUGUUCCAACCUCCUGCUCCAUUUCAGUCAUCAUGGCUUCAAAGCACAAAAGUAGUUCAAGAAAAAGGUAGCUGGAAUUUCUUACACAAAGGCCAAACAUUGUAAUUGCCUAGAUUUAUACAUGAACAGGACAAUAAAAUUAAAACAAACCCAAGAAA